GAUGAACGCUGGCGGCGUGCCUAAUACAUGCAAGUCGAGCGAACAGACGAGGAGCUUGCUCCUCUGACGUUAGCGGCAGAUGGGUGAGUAACACGUGGAUAACCUACCUAUAAGACUGGGAUAACUUCGGGAAACCGGAGCUAAUACCGGAUAAUAUAUUGAACCGCAUGGUUCAAUAGUGAAAGACGGUUUUGCUGUCACUUAUAGAUGGAUCCGCGCCGCAUUAGCUAGUUGGUAAGGUAACGGCUUACCAAGGCAACGAUGCGUAGCCGACCUGAGAGGGUGAUCGGCCACACUGGAACUGAGACACGGUCCAGACUCCUACGGGAGGCAGCAGUAGGGAAUCUUCCGCAAUGGGCGAAAGCUUGACGGAGCAACGCCGCGUGAGUGAUGAAGGUCUUCGGAUCGUAAAACUCUGUUAUUAGGGAAGAACAAAUGUGUAAGUAACUAUGCACGUCUUGACGGUACCUAAUCAGAAAGCCACGGCUAACUACGUG
rnacentral:rRNA from 1 species